UACGGGGGGAGCAAGCGUUGUUCGGAUUUACUGGGCGUAAAGGCGCGUAGGCGGCCAGCGCAAGUCAGUUUGUGAAAUCUCCGAGCUUAACUCGGAAAGGUCAACUGAUACUGCGCGGCUAGAGUGCAGAAGGGGCAACUGGAAUUCUCGGUGUAGCGGUGAAAUGCGUAGAUAUCGAGAGGAACACCUGCGGCGAAGGCGGGUUGCUGGGCUGACACUGACGCUUGAGGCGCGAAAGCUAGGGAGCGAACGGG
rnacentral:rRNA from 1 species